CUAUACAUUUUCUCCUAUAUUGUCUAGCAAAACUCAGUGAAGAUGCAAGAGAUUAUUGUCAUCACACAGAGUAAAUGCUUGCCCAGUGGAGUCCUGCCUGUGUGCACCAGGAUCUCCUGGCUGGAUUACAGAAGAGGAGUCUGGGUUUUGUCUCUCUGCACAAGGGGAAGUGACAACUUGGGAGGAG